AGUGAACGCUGGCGGUAGGCCUAACACAUGCAAGUCGAACGGCAGCACAGUAAGAGCUUGCUCUUACGGGUGGCGGGUGGCGGACGGGUGAGGAAUACAUCGGAAUCUACUUUUUCGUGGGGGAUAACGUAGGGAAACUUACGCUAAUACCGCAUACGACCUACGGGUGAAAGCAGGGGAUCUUCGGACCUUGCGCGAUUGAAUGAGCCGAUGUCGGAUUAGCUAGUUGGCGGGGUAAAGGCCCACCAAGGCGACGAUCCGUAGCUGGUCUGAGAGGAUGACAGGCAAAACUGAAACGGGGAAACGGUCCAAACUCUAAGGGAGGGAACAAUGGGGAAAUAUUGGACAUGGGGGGAAAGCCUGACCAAGCCAUACGGGGGGGGGAAGAAGGCCUUCGGGUUGUAAAGCCCUUUUGUUGGGAAAGAAAAGCAGCAGGUUAAUACCCCGCUGUUCUGACGGUACCCAAAGAAUAAGCACCGGCUAACUUCGUG
rnacentral:rRNA from 1 species